CUGCACUACUCGGGGAGAUAGCGGUGCCUUGUUACCCGCAAUCCGCUAUAGCGGGGAGGAAAUCCCGACCGAGGGUGCGUAUUGUAUCGUCUGACCCAUAUAAGCGGCGUUGAAGAUUCGGUCUUACGCAACGGGGCCCUGUGAACCGUGUCAGGUGGGGAACCAAGCAGCACUAAGCAGCCCACCCCGUGUGCCGUGAGGCAGCCGUUUCCGAGCUGGCUGUAUGGGUAACGGGUGUAGUGCGCAUUCGAAGAAGGGUGUGCAG
rfam:Firmicutes bacterium CAG:170 genomic scaffold, scf312